rnacentral:rRNA from 1 species
UACAGAGGGUGCGAGCGUUGUCCGGAAUCACUGGGCGUAAAGGGCGCGUAGGUGGUGGCUUAAGCGUGCGGUGAAAGCUCGGGGCUCAACCCCGAGUCGGCCGUGCGAACUGGGCUCACUGGAGCAUAGUAGAGGCAGGUGGAAUUCCGGGUGUAGCGGUGGAAUGCGUAGAGAUCCGGAAGAACACCGGUGGCGAAGGCGGCCUGCUGGGCAGUUUUGCUGACACUGAGGCGCGACAGCGUGGGGAGCAAACAGG